CUCUCAAUAGUAGCAGGAAAUGCCGAUUAGCAACUUAAUAUUUUUGUCUUUCUAAAAAUAAUUCGGAAACAAGGGCUAAUUAUUUUUAUCUUAAAAAGUUGGUGGUUUUUCUUUUCUUAUUGUUUUUAUACCAGUCUUUAAUUGCUUUUCUAAGUCAUUGAGCAAUAUAGCACAUUUCUUAAUGGCAUUUUUGUACAUAUCUAGUGUUAACCUUUGUUCUCAUUUCUCUCCCUCCUCGAUGCUCCCCUUUCUUCUGCCUUCCUCCCGAGCCCUCUGAGCCCUCUGCUUCUCCUUUCAGCCUUACCUCACUUGUAUCUUUGACCUUUCUUACUCUUCACUCCUUUAACACCCCUUCCUUUCUCCUUCCUGCCCGCUUUCAUGUUCUACACACACACACACACACACACACACACACACACACACACACACAAACCCCGAAAUUUUGCACCCGAGAGAAAACAUAUCUUACUUUCUGCACCCAGCUUUUGUUGCUUAACACCAUGAUCUCAGUUCGUCAUGGCUGAGUCAAGUUCCAUUGUGUAUGUGUAUCAUUACGUGUGUGAGCCGUCUGUCCAUGGACAUCUAGGCAGCCUCUGGAUGUUGGUUAUUGUGAUUGUUGCAGCGAUAUCGUGGAUGUGCAAGAGUCUGUACAGUGUUGAUUUAAGGUUCUUCUGGCACACGUAUAUCCAGGAGUAUAUAGUUAUUUGGAUCAUAUGGUCAUUAUGUUUGUAAUUCUUUUGAGAACCCUCUACACUGACUUGCACAGAGGUGUGUUAGUUUACUGAUUCUUACUAAUAAUAAAUGUUCCUCCCAAGCAUUUGUUGUCCUCUGUCCUCUUGGGGAUAGCCAUUCUACUUAAGGUGAGGUGGAAUCUCAAGGCAGUUUUCAUUUGAAAGGGGCAAGGCAGGUUGACUACCAGGACAGAGCAAGAGCUAGCAGAAUUUCAAACGGUCACCAUGUCCACACUGCCAUGCUUCCUGCCAUGGUGAUUUAUGGACUGAACCUCUGAACUUGUGAAUCAACUCCAGUUAAAUUUUGUCCCUUAUAAGAGUUGCCUUGGUCAUGGUAUUUCUUCACAGCAAUGGAAACCCUAACUAAGACAGUAUCCUUAGCUUGUCUGGAACUCUGUGUAGCUAAGUGAUUUUGAACUCACAUAGAUUCGCCUUCAUCUGUUUCUUGGAUGCUAGAAUUGAAAGCUUGAGCCACCAUACAUAGCCAAUUUAUGGCCUUUAUCUUCUAAUAUCAUGGUUGUCAACUUUCCUGGUGCUGUGACACUUUAAUAUGGUUCCCCAUGUUGUGGUGACCCCAACUAUAAAAUUAUUUCAUUGCUACUUCAUAACUGUAAUUUUGGUACCCUAAUGAAUCUCAGUGUAAAUACUCGAUAUGCAACCCCAGAGGGGUCUCCAUCCACAUGUUGAGAACCACUGUUCUAAUGUUUAUGACCUACGUGAUAAUCCACAGUAAACUGAGAUUAAUGUGGGAGCUCCUUUGUGCUUAUAGAGUGAAUUUGUAGCAAGCUGAAGAGCAAAAUAGGCUACGUUUGAAGGUGCUCUUGUAAAUCUCAGUUCUUUCUUGGGCAGCUCAGCCCUACCCUGGGACCCUGAAAGAGUUACUUGAAAAAAAUAACUUGACAAUCUGUUUUUCCUAGAAAGGGCAGGAUUCAGUUGCAAUAAGCAAUGUGGGCUAGAUAUUUGGAAAUUCUCUUUGCUUGUUCCUUUUAAAUGGCUAGUGAAGGUUUAUCAUCAAAUUUUUAGGUUUAUAAAAAUAUAGGUGAGUGUAAUUCUCAUUUAAUGAAAAUAAAAAUCAAGAUCAGAAUCAACAUUAAGUAAAUGUAAUGUGCUUUCUGUCUCUCUGCCUCUGACGUGUGUGUGUGUGUGUUUGGUACAUUUGGGAAGUCCAUCUAAAGCAGGGACAAGGAUGUGUUAAGGACAAGCAAGCCAUUUUAUAUCCAGCUUUUGUAUUCUAUUGUAUUAAAAUCUCAACAUUGUCAGAUCUUUGAACUGUCAGGGAAGUCAAAUCCUGAUUUGUAUAGGUCUUUACAUUUGUUGACAUAUUUUUGUCCCCUUAAUAACUCAGUGAAUGGCAGCAAAGAAGUUAAAAGGCAGAAAUGGGCCGGAAACAUGGGAUACCUUUUAGUCUUAGUUACCGUCAGAGUUUAUAAUUAAAAGUGUGACACAAAGUACUGACUGGACUUUGUGGGUUUUCAAGAAAGGGGGGAUUUGGCUGGGGAGAUGGAGGUAUAGAAAUGAUUGUAUUUCAUUGAAUUUGUAAAGUAAUAAUGUUAGAAAGUGUAGUUGGAUAAAAAAGGACCAGAGAGAAGCUUCUGAGUAAUGAUGGGAAAUUCUUUCAGGCUUUAGUAUAUCCCAGAUGCUUAACCUCUUUCUAGAAAUGCUGAU
ensembl:sense_intronic